rnacentral:rRNA from 1 species
UACGAAGGGUGCAAGCGUUGCUCGGAAUUAUUGGGCGUAAAGGGUAGGUAGGUGGUAAUAAAAGUCUGGGGUGAAAUCCCUGAGCUCAACUCAGGACGUGCCUUGGAAACUUUAUUACUAGAGUGCUGGAGAGGUUCGCAGAAUUCCCGGUGUAGCGGUGAAAUGCGCAGAUAUCAGGAGGAACACCGGUGGCGAAGGCGGGUCUCUGGGCAACAACUGACGCUGAGGAGCGAAAGCGUGGGGAGCGAACAGG